rnacentral:tRNA from 1 species
CAGGUGUAGUUUAAUGGUAGAACUUCAGCCUUCCAAGCUGACCGCGUGAGUUCGAUUCUCAUCACCUG